AUGUGGGGAUGGGGACGCCGAGCCUGCCUCGGGCAGGGACAGGGACACGGAGCCGGCUUGGACAGGGACACGCUGUGCUAUUCCUGCGCUCCCUCUGGUGGCUUCUGCCGCAGGCCCGGGAGCUGGCGGAGCAGCCGAGUCCCAGCAGCAGGGAACUGGGAGCCUGGGAAGAGGCUGCGGUGGUGGAUGGAGGGAGCCCAGCGGAGCCACAUGGACGAGGCGGCCCAGGGGAAGCCUGGAAGCAGACCUGCGUGUCCUGGGAGCAAUCCUGCAAUUCCCUGGAGCAAACCCACAUCCCCAGGAGCAAUCCUGCAAUUCCCUGGAGCAAACCCACGUCCCCGGGAGCCUGCUUCACCUUUUUGGGGACACACGGGAGCAGGGGGACCCUCGGCAGCUGCUCAUGGCCAGCUCCCCUCCAGCUGCUCCCCAGGCAGCAGACGGACAGGACUGCUCCCCCUGUGCCCGGCCACGCUCCGGCUGGGAACAGCCUUGGAUAAAGCCGUGCCCACAAGGUGGAGAGCCUGCGACCACCCUUCCUGCCCCGGGGGGACGGGACGAGCCCCAGGGCUCGGGGCCUCGCAGCACCCGGUGGCGUUUGGGGACGCAGCAGCGGCGCUCGGCACCGCCCCGAGGGAGGCGACGGGCCCCGCUGGCACCUCCUCACUUCGCUGCGGUCGACCGCGGCACAGGAACACGUUAUGCCCGGAGCAGCUCCAGCGUUUCCGCCGCAGCACAGCCGCCCUUUCCGGCCCCCGAGCAYGGGGUGCCAGCCCCGACACGGUGGGCAGGGGGACGCACAAGCACCUGCCGCCUCCCCUCACCCUGGCACCACCAGCGCUUGCGUGGCUGCCAGCUGAGCAGGGAGGUUGCAGCCAGGUCCCCCUUCCUCUCUGCCGGCUGCUGCCGGAGGGGGAUGAAGCAUGGAAAUUUCCAUGGGGGGGAUGUGGGCAGGUGCCCGCCACCAGCGCUGCAUGGGCCAUGAUGCUGCAGGGGAUGCGGCGCUGCACGGGAUGCGGCGGUGCAGGGUGGCAGGGCGAGAGCUGCCAUCCCUGCGCCCGUCGCGGAGAGACCACCACAUACGGAAAACACGGAUGCUUUAAUGGGGCUCGGACUGGGAAAGGAGCAUCGAGCCGGCAUCGUUUACAUGGAAAGCCGCUUUUCCCGCACGCGUUAGUAUAA
rnacentral:lncRNA from 1 species